rnacentral:rRNA from 1 species
AGAUUAAGUUAUUAAGGGCGCACGGUGGAUGCCUUGGCACUAGAAGCCGAUGAAGGACGUUACUAACGACGAUAUGCUUUGGGGAGCUGUAAGUAAGCUUUGAUCCAGAGAUUUCCGAAUGGGGAAACCCAGCAUGAGUUAUGUCAUGUUAUCGAUAUGUGAAUACAUAGCAUAUUAGAAGGCACACCCGGAGAACUGAAACAUCUUAGUACCCGGAGGAAGAGAAAGAAAAUUCGAUUCCCUUAGUAGCGGCGAGCGAAACGGGAAGAGCCCAAACCAACAAGCUUGCUUGUUGGGGUUGUAGGACACUCUAUACGGAGUUACAAAGGACGACAUUAGACGAAUCAUCUGGAAAGAUGAAUCAAAGAAGGUAAUAAUCCUGUAGUCGAAAAUGUUGUCUCUCUUGAGUGGAUCCUGAGUACGACGGAGCACGUGAAAUUCCGUCGGAAUCUGGGAGGACCAUCUCCUAAGGCUAAAUACUCUCUAGUGACCGAUAGUGAACCAGUACCGUGAGGGAAAGGUGAAAAGCACCCCGGAAGGGGAGUGAAAUAGAACCUGAAACCGUGUGCUUACAAGUAGUCAGAGCCCGUUAAUGGGUGAUGGCGUGCCUUUUGUAGAAUGAACCGGCGAGUUACGAUUUGAUGCAAGGUUAAGCAGUAAAUGUGGAGCCGUAGCGAAAGCGAGUCUGAAUAGGGCGUUUAGUAUUUGGUCGUAGACCCGAAACCAGGUGAUCUACCCUUGGUCAGGUUGAAGUUCAAGUAACACUGAAUGGAGGACCGAACCGACUUACGUUGAAAAGUGAGCGGAUGAACUGAGGGUAGCGGAGAAAUUCCAAUCGAACCUGGAGAUAGCUGGUUCUCUCCGAAAUAGCUUUAGGGCUAGCCUCAAGUGAUGAUUAUUGGAGGUAGAGCACUGUUUGGACGAGGGGCCCCUCUCGGGUUACCGAAUUCAGACAAACUCCGAAUGCCAAUUAAUUUAACUUGGGAGUCAGAACAUGGGUGAUAAGGUCCGUGUUCGAAAGGGAAACAGCCCAGACCACCAGCUAAGGUCCCAAAAUAUAUGUUAAGUGGAAAAGGAUGUGGCGUUGCCCAGACAACUAGGAUGUUGGCUUAGAAGCAGCCAUCAUUUAAAGAGUGCGUAAUAGCUCACUAGUCGAGUGACACUGCGCCGAAAAUGUACCGGGGCUAAACAUAUUACCGAAGCUGUGGAUUGUCCUUUGGACAAUGGUAGGAGAGCGUUCUAAGGGCGUUGAAGCAUGAUCGUAAGGACAUGUGGAGCGCUUAGAAGUGAGAAUGCCGGUGUGAGUAGCGAAAGACGGGUGAGAAUCCCGUCCACCGAUUGACUAAGGUUUCCAGAGGAAGGCUCGUCCGCUCUGGGUUAGUCGGGUCCUAAGCUGAGGCCGACAGGCGUAGGC